UUAUGUAGUGCCAUUGUUACUGUUACAAUCUUUAUCCACUUAAUCAAUCCAUAUUUUGGAUGUUUACGAUCUAGAAUUCUCCACUUUGCUUUCCAUACUCCAAAUGUCUGCUCAAUAACUGUCCGCAAACCUAAUUGUCUCCAGUUUAACAAUUCACGGGUUUUCGUUGGUGGUCCUCUUCUAACAUAAUGAUCCAGAUGAUUUUUAGUUGUAGUGCCCCAUGAGUCAAGUUGUC
rnacentral:lncRNA from 1 species